UACAGAGGGUGCGAGCGUUAAUCGGAGUUACUGGGCGUAAAGGGCGCGUAGGCGGUCAUUUAAGAUUGAUGUGAAAUCCCUGGGCUUAACCUAGGAACUGCAUUGAUUACUGGAUGGCUGGAGUACUGUAGAGGGUAGUGGAAUUUCCGGUGUUGCGGUGAAAUGCGUAGAGAUCGGAAGGAACACCAGUGGCGAAGGCGGCUACCUGGACAGAUACUGACGCUGAGGCGCGAGAGCGUGGGGAGCAAACAGG
rnacentral:rRNA from 1 species